rnacentral:rRNA from 1 species
GGAAUAUUGGACAAUGGGCGAGAGCCUGAUCCAGCCAUGCCGCGUGCAGGAAGACUGCCCUAUGGGUUGUAAACUGCUUUUAUACGGGAAGGAACCUCCCCUCGUGAGGGGAGCUGACGGUACCGUAAGAAUAAGGAUCGGCUCACUCCGUGCCCGCAGCCGCGGUAAUACGGAGGAUCCAAGCGUUAUCCGGAAUCAUUGGGUUUAAAGGGUCCGUAGGCGGGCAAUUAAGUCAGGGGUGAAAGUUUGCGGCUCAACCGUAAAAUUGCCUUUGAUACUGGUUGUCUUGAAUUAUUAUGAAGUGGUUAGAAUGAGUAGUGUAGCGGUGAAAUGCUUAGAUAUUACUCAGAAUACCAAUUGCGAAGGCAGAUCACUAAUAAUAUAUUGACGCUGAUGGACGAAAGCGUGGGGAGCGAAC